CCUUCUGCUAAACUGACUCUAGAACCAAGCUGACACCUACCUACCUUCUCAGCAAAAAAGGGCAUUACUUUGGCUAGAUACACUCAAAGGUACUGGAGAGCCCAUUGCUUCAGUACCUGUAUGAGGGGAAUCUUGCUACUGAGUAGAAUUUCCACAGCUGAGUCAGGAUUUUAUUCCCCUUUCCCCAGAUAAAUGCCUUUUUUUUGGUAAACAUUCUGUGGACAAGGCUUCUUUGGCACCUUUCAAUAAAGUUCAUUUUUUGAAAGUGGCAGGGCAAAAGAGGAGGAAACAUGUAGAUUGAGAUUUAUCUGUUAUUUUCUAGUAUGAAUAUUUUUUGAAGAAUGAUAUGGUGUCCAGUUGCAGCUUGAAGUACUCCCUCUAGCCUAGAGAAUAUUUGCUUGUUCACAUAAAGAGCAAACCUUCUGUGCUGUUGGCUUCUGACUGGUUUGGAAAUGCCCUCGGGAAGAUGGAGAUGGAAGUUCAGAUAGAGGAAAAGGAGAGAAUUUGGAUUCUUGAGCAGGAGCUGUCAUCACUCCAUGAAGAGAGUGACCUGGAGCUCAAGCAGUAGUGAUGUUCUCCAGACAGCUCUCCAUGGCUUCCCUAAGACACCAGUGAGCCACGAGACUGAGGCAGAAAUUCCAGUGUGGGGAGGGUGUGAGUCAUGAGAUGGUGAGUGAAGGAAAUAGCGGGAUAAAAAUAACAGAGCCCAGUGUGAUGCAG
rnacentral:lncRNA from 1 species